GGGGCGACAUAAUCAACUAUUAUAAUAACACUAGAGUUGUGUCUGCAUUAUCGGGUGUCAGUUUCCCUAAUUUUUCGUCGUCAUCGGUAGCCACGUACGAAACGUUUUGCAGUAACCGUACAAGUGCGGCUGUCGUACAACUUACAGAUGGAAAUUUGAAGGUUUACAGUACAGCGAGAGCGACGGCCUUCACAUUUGGCUCAAGCUUGAUGCGGUAUAGCCUUCAAUGGCGCAUGAAAAUGAACAAAACAUUUUCUCACUGCUUUGGUGGGGGAGCUGAAGACGGAAAGAAAGAAGAACAAAAAAUAAUGACGUGCUAAAUAAUAAAAAAGACACAGCAGUGUCUUAUUUUUGCUGAUCUAUGCAGAUAAAUAAACAGAAAACGUCCCAA